CCACUGUCUGAGUUCUCUUCCUGGCAGGGAGGCUGGCACUGUGGAGGACAGCAGGCUGCUCUGGUGGAAGCUCCUCCAGGCCUUGGCUGGUAGUGGGAGGCCUCCUGUUUGAAGCUGUUGGUGAUGCCGUACCUGGGGAACAUGUACACUUGCACUGUUUCUUGACUCAUGCCUAGAACUCCACAGCUUCAAGGUUUGGAAGCCUGGCUACGCUCCUGAGAAGGGGUAUAUCAAGGAGACUUUAUUCAAGAAGCAAAACCAAACAAAAACAGAGGAAGAGACUGAAAACCACAUCAUUUCCUGGUAAAGAGUGUACGGUGAAUUGGGUGAAGGAAUACGGACUCAAGAAAACCCGUGGGGGAAAAUUGACGCUUCCUCCCAGCCCCCACCCCGCUUACUUCCUCUGUUUAUCUGCCAAUGCAGAAAAUAAGCCAACAAUAAAA